GCCUAAAUAGCUCAGUUGGUAGAGCAGCGCAUUCGUAACGCGAAGGUCGUCAGUUCGAUUCUGGCUUUAGGCA
rnacentral:tRNA from 1 species